rnacentral:rRNA from 1 species
AGCGGUGAAAUGCGUAGAGAUCUGGAGGAAUACCGGUGGCGAAGGCGGCCCCCUGGACAAAGACUGACGCUCAGGUGCGAAAGCGUGGGGAGCAAACAGGAUUAGAUACCCUGGUAGUCCACGCCGUAAACGAUGUCUACUUGGAGGUUGUGCCCUUGAGGCGUGGCUUCCGGAGCUAACGCGUUAAGUAGACCGCCUGGGGAGUACGGCCGCAAGGUUAAAACUCAAAUGAAUUGACGGGGGCCCGCACAAGCGGUGGAGCAUGUGGUUUAAUUCGAUGCAACGCGAAGAACCUUACCUGGUCUUGACAUCCACAGAAGAAUCCAGAGAUGGAUUUGUGCCUUCGGGAACUGUGAGACAGGUGCUGCAUGGCUGUCGUCAGCUCGUGUUGUGAAAUGUUGGGUUAAGUCCCGCAACGAGCGCAACCCUUAUCCUU